GGGAGGUGCAUGCAAAUUGUUCCUUCCUUAAAAUAAUGCCGUAUGCAGCUCUCAUGUCAUUGAUGACGGAGCAACUGGGCUUCUAAUAUAUCUUGAAAACAUUCAGAGCAGAAAGCAGUGGAUGAAGUGUUAAUAACAUAAUGGAAAAUAUGAUUUCCUGGAGUCUGUUCUUCAUAGUUACUAUUAAUGGAGUUUGGAGUGAGAUCAAACUGGAACAGUCUCCCUCCGAGGUGAAGAAACCUGGAGAGAAAGUGAAGAUGUCGUGUAUCACGUCAGGUUAUAGUAUGACAAGCUACAACAUUCACUGGAUACGACAGAGGCCAGGAAAUGCUCUGGAGUGGAUUGGGAGGAUGGACACAGGCAGCAACUCUGCUAUCUACAGCAGCUCCUUCCAAAGCCGUUUCAUCAUGACUGAAGAUGUGCCCAAGAGCACUCAGUACCUCGAGGUCACGAGCCUGACAGCAGAAGACUCAGCUGUUUACUUCUGUGCUCGACACACAGUGACUGAAGACAGCGGAGCAGCUGAACAAAAACAUCCACAGACAACAAACAGCAACUUGGGGACAUUUGGGUUUUCUCACAAACUGCAAAAGUACUUUAAUCUAUUUAAUAUCUUCAUGAUGUCAAAAAUUGCUUUUUAAAACACAUGAAAAAUAAACAAAUGAAUUCAAAACAGGAUAAAAAUGUAUUCAUAACAUAAAUGCAAUAAAUACACCAUAUUGUUUGUUGGUAGUAUUGUUUCUAUUGUUUUAAAGCCGUUUUAUGAUCUAAAAUGUCAAGAAAACUUAAAUGUCUGAGUCAAGUACAUAAAUUAUAAUAAUCAAAUGAAGAACACAGACAUCAGAUUGUUUCCUCUUCUACUUCACUCCUGACUGCUUUGGCUCAGCCAGCAGGGAAUUUUAUAAAAUAAUUUUGUUGAAAUACAACAAAUGUGUUUCAAAUGUAAAACAUGUUCAUCCUUGUUGAAAAUACUUAUUAAUAAAGUGUUGACUUUU